rnacentral:rRNA from 1 species
AUGGUGUCGCUUGCUGUAGUCAUAUCUGUCUUGUUUCUCUGGAAAGGAAAACACAAUAGCAAAUCUAUAUCAUUGCCAUCAAUUGCUACAGAUUUUCCCAAAGUUUCUUUCAGUGAUCUAGCCAGAGCAACACAAGGAUUCUCAGUGUCCAACUUAAUUGGCAGAGGGGGAUAUAGUUCUGUAUAUCAAGGAAAACUAGUUGAAUACAAAAAUGUGGUUGCCAUAAAAGUCUUCAACCUACAUACAAGAGGAGCACAAACGAGCUUUAUCGCAGAAUGUAAUGCGUUGAGAAAUGUGCGGCACCGUAAUCUGGUCCGGAUGCUAACUGCAUGCUCAAGCAUUGAUUCUAAUGGCAAUGAUUUCAAAGCCCUAGUGUAUGAGUUCAUGCCACGAGGAGACUUGCAUAAACUACUAUACUCAACUCCAGACUAUGAAGGCUCUUCAUAUUUGAACCUUAUUACAAUGGCUCAAAGGAUUGGCAUUGUGGUGGAUGUAGCAGAUGCAUUGGAGUACCAACACCAUAACAACCAAGGCAUAAUGAUUCAUUGUGAUUUGAAGCCUAGCAACAUUCUCCUGGAUGACAAUAUGAUAGCUCAUGUGGGAGACUUUGGCCUAGCAAGAUUCAAAGUUGAUUCCACAACAUUAUCUCUUGGUAACUCAAACACCUCUUCGAUUGCACUAGUGGGAACGAUUGGAUACGCUGCUCCAGAAUACGCACGGGGUGGUCAAGUUUCGACCGCCGCAGAUGUUUACAGUUUUGGUGUCGUUCUGCUCGAGAUAUUCAUUCGAAGAAGGCCAACUGAUGACAUGUUUAAGGAUGGACUGAGCAUUGUAAAGUUUGCAGAGGCCAACUUCCCUGGUCGAGUAUUGGAGAUUGUCGAUCCCCAGCUGCUACAUGAGUUAGAGCUUUCCCAAAAAAACUCCAAUGGACUUGAAGGAAGAAGGUGUACAUUCUCUGAUGUCUAUGCUAAACAUUGGCCUCUGCUGCACCAAACCAUCUCCAGAUCAACGUAUGAACAUGCAGGAGGUGGCUGCCAAGCUACAUGGAAUUAG